AGAGUUUGAUCAUGGCUCAGAUUGAACGCUAGCGGGAUGCUUUACACAUGCAAGUCGGACGGCAGCACGAAGAGCUUGCUCUUUGGUGGCGAGUGGCGAACGGGUGAGUAAUGUAUCGGAACGUGCCCAGUAGCGGGGGAUAACUACGCGAAAGCGUGGCUAAUACCGCAUACGCCCUACGGGGGAAAGGGGGGGAUCGCAAGACCUCUCACUAUUGGAGCGGCCGAUAUCGGAUUAGCUGGUUGGUGGGGUAAAGGCCUACCAAGGCGACGAUCCGUAGCUGGUUUGAGAGGACGACCAGCCACACUGGGACUGAGACACGGCCCAGACUCCUACGGGAGGCAGCAGUGGGGAAUUUUGGACAAUGGGGGCAACCCUGAUCCAGCCAUCCCGCGUGUGCGAUGAAGGCCUUCGGGUUGUAAAGCACUUUUGGCAGGGAAGAAACAGCCUGGGAUAAUACCUUGGGCGAAUGACGGUACCUGCAGAAUAAGCACCGGCUAACUACGUGCCAGCCGCCGCGGUAAUAC
rnacentral:rRNA from 1 species